rnacentral:rRNA from 1 species
GAUGAACGCUGGCGGCAUGCCUAAUACAUGCAAGUCGAACGAAGCACUUGUGCUUAGUGGCGAACGGGUGAGUAAUACGUAAGCAACCUGCCCUACACACGGGGAUAACUACUGGAAACGGUAGCUAAUACCCGAUAGGUCAUAAAGUGGCAUCACUUAAUGAUUAAAGGUCCCUUCAAGGACCAGUUUGGGAUGGGCUUAUGGCGCAUUAACUAGUUGGUGAGGUACCGGCUCACCAAGGCGAUGAUGCGUAGCCGACCUGAGAGGGUGAUCGGCAACAUUGGGACUGAGACACGGCCCAAACUCCUACGGGAGGCAGCAGUGGGGAAUAUUGCACAAUGGGGGAAGCCCUGAUGCAGCGACGCCGCGUGAAGGAAGAAGUAUUUCGGUAUGUAAACCUCUAUCAGCAGGGAAGAAAAUGACGGUACCUGACUAAGAAGCCCCGGCUAAUUACGUGCCAGCCGCCGCAGUAAUAC